UGGAGCAGUGACAGGUAGCGCUUGGGAGGGUGGAGAAGGGCGGGCGUCUACAGUGUUUUGGUCGGCGAUGGUCAGUCUUGCCCCACACACUCUGGUAAUAAGUGUUUCCGUAUUCCCGGCAGCUUCUCCCUGCACCAAGCACCAGAGACCCAUGAGUACGUAAGGGGUCAAUUUGAAAAUGAAAUACGUUACGUACGUAAGCCUGCGGCCGGGGGCCAGCUCGCCUGUGACGUCAUCAAUGGCCAGGGACCUGCCCGGCUCCAGUGUCUCUUGGAAGGAAUUCAAGACCCAGCUGGCGCACAAGAAUGCUUCCUUGAGUUACCCAGUCACCAUCUUCUUUCUUAAGACCUCUGGAUUUGCCCCUUGGCCUACCCUUUGUGUUUCGACUGCUACCUCCUGACUUUUUGCUGGCAUUUCUGGUGCUAGCAAGCCAAACACCAUGAUUAUCUGGAAAAAAAUAAGAAAUUAAAUAAACAUGAAUUCAAGAACAGGAAACUCCAUAAUAAACAUAAAUCAUA